rnacentral:rRNA from 1 species
AUGCCAGCUAGCGAUCUGAGGACGUUUUUUUUGUAGACUCCUCAGGAAGCUUCCGGGAAACCAAAGCGUGUGGGUUCCGGGGGAAGUAUGGUUGCAAAGCUGAAACUUAAAGGAAUUGACGGAAGGGCACCACCAGGAGUGGAGCCUGCGGCUUAAUUUGACUCAACACGGGAAAUCUCACCAGGCCCGGACACUGGAAGGAUUGACAGAUUGAGAGCUCUUUCUCGAUUCGGUGGGUGGUGGUGCAUGGCCGUUCUUAGUUGGUGGAGUGAUUUGUCUGGUUAAUUCCGAUAACGAACGAGACUCUGUCCUGCUAAAUAGUGUAAGCCUCUCAAUUGGGCUUGCAAUUCUUCUUAGAGGGACUGGCGGCUCCUAGCCGCACGAGAUAGAGCAAUAACAGGUCUGUGAUGCCCUUAGAUGUUCUGGGCCGCACGCGCGCUACACUGAAUAGAUCAGCGUGUUCUCCCUUUCCGAGAGGAACGGGUAAACCGCUGAACCCUAUUCGUGGUAGGGAUCGGGGCUUGCAAUUAUUCCCCGUGAACCAGGAAUGCCCAGUAGGUGCAAGUCAUAAGCUUGCGUCGAUUACGUCCCUGCCCUUUGUACACACCGCCCGUCGCUACUACCGAUUGAACGUUUUAGUGAGGUCCACGGACUGUUUGCCAAGCGGAUUAUUCUGCCUGGCUGGCGGGAAGUCGACCAA